rnacentral:sRNA from 1 species
UGUGUUAAGAUUUACGUGCCAUUCAGAGA